CAAUUUCAACAACGGAUCUCUUGGUUCUGGCAUCGAUGAAGAACGCAGCGAAAUGCGAUACGUAGUGUGAAUUGCAGAAUUCAGUGAAUCAUCGAAUCUUUGAACGCACAUUGCGCCCUUUGGUAUUCCAAAGGGCAUGCCUGUUCGAGCGUCAUUU
rnacentral:rRNA from 1 species